rnacentral:rRNA from 1 species
AACGAACGUUAGCGGCGUGCCUAACACAUGCAAGUCGCACGAGAAAGGGCUUCGGCCCCGGUACAGUGGCGCACGGGUGAGUAACACGUAGGUAACCUACCCUCGAGUGGGGGAUAACCCUCCGAAAGGAGAGCUAAUACCGCAUGAGACCACGGCUCCCUCGGGAGCUGAGGUCAAAGCGGGCCUCUGCUUGCAAGCUCGCGCUUGAGGAUGGGCCUGCGGCCUAUCAGCUAGUUGGUGGGGUAAAAGCCCACCAAGGCAGAGACGGGUAGCUGGUCUGAGAGGAUGAACAGCCACACUGGAACUGAGACACGGUCCAGACUCCUACGGGAGGCAG